ACCCAGACUCCUACGGGAGGCAGCAGUGGGGAAUAUUGGGCAAUGGGCGCAAGCCUGACCCAGCAACGCCGCGUGAAGGAAGAAGGCUUUCGGGUUGUAAACUUCUUUUCUCAGGGACGAAGCAAGUGACGGUACCUGAGGAAUAAGCCACGGCUAACUACGUGCCAGCAGCCGCGGUAAUACGUAGGUGGCAAGCGUUAUCCGGAUUUACUGGGUGUAAAGGGCGUGUAGGCGGGGACGCAAGUCAGAUGUGAAAACCACGGGCUCAACCUGGAGACUGCACCUGAAACUGGGUGUCUUGAGGGCAGGAGAGGAAAGUGGGAUUCCUAGUGUAGCGGUGAAAUGCGUAGAUAUUAGGAGGAACACCAGUGGCGAAGGCGACUUUCUGGACUGUACCUGACGCUGAGGCGCGAAAGCGUGGGUAGCAAACAGGAUUAGAUACCCGCGUAGUA
rnacentral:rRNA from 1 species